AACGCCCGGUCUCCGCCUGCCCCAAUCCCGACUCUAGGCCGUCGUCCCCAACACACCAUGAGGACGAAGAUGGCGGUGGCGCUGGUCCGGGCCUCCGGGGGGAUCGGACAUCCUACGCCUGCCCGAUCCUCCUACUUCUCCUCGCGCUGCUCCUCGCUGUCCCCGCUCGCGGCCAUCUCCAACGCCUCCUCCCACGCCUACGCCUUCACGGGCCAUCAGCCGGUGCCCGCCCCGGAUCCCACCUUCUUCGAUGAUGUCGUCGACGCCAUCGUCGACAAGUACGGCUGGUACCCCGACGCCGAGGUCCGGGUUUGGCCGCUCGACGCCGAGGGCGCGCUCGUCGACGCCGUGCAGUGCUACGAGUUCCCCGCCCGCGUGGGGCCCCGCGGUCGCGCUGGCGCGGGCCUCCUACGGGGCCGUCGACUGGAGCCGCCCCGACGCCCCCGCGGUGGGGGAGGUGGUCGGGCCCGACGGAGUCGACUUCGUGACCGGCGAUGGCGACCUGGCGUUCGGCUCCGGCGUUAGGGUCCGUGACAUGGUAGGGCCGUUCGAGCUGGUGGUCUGCGAUGGCGCUGGCAGGGGCCGCGCAGAGCUCUAGUUGCCGUCGUGUCUGCACCACCGCCCGUUGAUUAGAAUGCAUGUUCCGGCAGUCCACGCAUCGAUCACUGGCAAAUUAAAAAGGCAUGAACGCACUAAACAGAAAUUCUGUGUAGAUGAUUCUUGUAUAUGGCAGUGGCACACGCGCUAGUUGAUGAAGCCGCUGGGCCGGAAGGCCCUCUCAUUGCCAUGCUAAUGAGUAUCACAACAAACAUGGCCCUCACCUCAAUGCCUCCCUGUCGGCGGUGAGGUCUGGCCGGAUCUGUACAACCCGCAAUAUUAGUAAAGAAAAAGAAUAGCUUGAUUGUUCUAUGACUCUGUCGUGGAUAGGUAAUUUGCAUCAGAGGUCUAUAGGAUCUCCGCCAUUAGUUUCCCAUUAGAAAAUUGAGUUACUAAAUUAAGGAAGAUGUCCAAAGAGAGGUAAUCGAUGGCAUGAUAUGCAUCAGAAGAUCCUCAUCACUGAAGUAGUACUCCACCAGUCCACCUACAGUUUUGGAACAUAUAAACACGGCAUCAAAGUGCUACCUGGCACCAAAUAAAGAGUUCAGGUCAGGGUGUUAUACUGCAGCUAAGCAGUAUAGUCUGAAUUUCUAAGUUUGAGGAGGAUUUCAGUGUUUCUAAAGAAAGGGACAAGGAUCAGGGCUAUAAUAUUGUUGAAAGACUCAGAGACAUGUACCAUGAAUUGGGUACAGUAUGCUUUCUACCCAUCUUUUCCUUAUAUUGACUAAACCUUAGUAAAUAACUAUUUCCAGUUUUCUCAUGUAACCUGAACUGCUGCUGGUUUAAAUUUUAGUUCCGCAAGCUGCGACACACAUGGUCUGCCUCCGUGUCGUCCUACCUGCUUCAGGGCCCUCUACUUCUUCCCCCAAGAUUGCCAUUAUGAUUAACAAAUCUGACGAGAGCAAUUUAAUUGGUGACACAUCAUAUUUAUUCUACAACUGCAUGUGAAUUCUCAUCUUGCGCCUACCUCUUUUGCUUACCAGGUUGCAAAUUUUCAUUAACUUAUUUGUCGAAGUAUCCUGCAAAAUCAUUUGUCUUAUGGGAAUUAGCCUAUUGUAUUGAUCUAACAAGGUCCACUUCAACCUACGUAACAAUUAUGCAGUGAAGAUGGAGAGCUUUAGGCAAAAAAAGAAAGAAAGAAAACUAGCACGUGAUCUAUGGAGAAUAAUUUUGACAGCAACUCCAACUAUGCAAUGGAGUACACUUGAUGCAAUCAAUUCUGGUGUGUGUGUGUGUGUGUGUGUGUGUGAUGCAAUGACGUAUGAAUAACAACAGAAAAAUAUGCCUGAGGAGUAUGGGUAUGUAGUAACAUUUCUCUGUUAUUUUCGGAACAACUUGGAAUAUCUUAUUGGUAGUUUAUAUACAAAGUCAUUUUGAUAAUUAUCAUGCUGCAAACCUACAUAGUUUUCUAUAUUAAUAAUGUCAUGUUAAAAUAUAAAAGUUAUAGCUUCAAUAAAUUGAUAAAAUACAGAUUUGGGCUUUACAUAUUUAUUGAAUAUAUAUUUACAUAUGAAUACGUCGUUACGGUCGGACUCUAGCGAGCAGCAGUGGUUGUUAUACCCCACCAGGUAACUUGCUACUGUUGGUGAAACUCUCUUGUGCAAAAACGCCGAUCUUGAAAUCUUGAUCCUACUUAUAGGCCGUAUUGCAAGCAAUGUACUCAUGUUUUACUGAACAUGUAGGUAACAUGAAAUUUUGAUCUUCUCCCAUCACUGAAAGUUGUGUUUUAAACUUGCAAAAGCAUUGCUAAGCCUAUUCAAUCAUUUCUAUUUUACCCUAGAUUUCACUCCAUACCAUAAUUGAGAUACAAAUGGGCGUUACUGAUGUCGAGGAGAAGAGUUAGAAGCUCUUGGAUUGAGAAUCUGAGAUUUAUAUAGGUUCAGUAGAACAAAAAGUUUCGGAUUCACUACUCCAGAUACAACGGGAGACCUUUGAUGUCAUAGUUGGCACGGACAUUUAGCAAUAAAUUUGUGCCUGCCUGGACAUUAUUACUAUUAAACUAUGAAUAAUGAUUUUUGCAACUGUAGGAGAAUUUCUUUGCCGCAUCACAAGAAAAACAAUUUGAAACAGAAAAGUGUACUGAACCUUCUAAUUAUUGUGUGAACUUGCUUCACUUAAUUUAAGAAGUACACAUACUGCUAGCAUUUGUAUCACACCGGGCAGCCUAUUAUCGAGAGAUCUGACUUCAUCAGGAUUGCGGGUUCGUGACUUAAUCCUGAUUGGGUAUGCUGGCUGCCCGUACAGGAUUAACGUGCCCUAUAUGCGGUGAACCGCGGCUACUCCUCCCAGUCCCGGAUAUGCUCUUCCGCCACCUGCGACCCGCAGCUCCAAUGAUCCACGACAAGGGAUGACGACCAACUCGGCUGCCCCUCCCUCGUGCAGCUCCCUCUAAGGCUGCAGUAGCCUUCGCACGAGGCCACUACGGUGCCACCUAUGCUGUCCUGAAGUUCCCUCAGAUUCGACAGUUUCAGUUUCAUCAGUUUCGUCAGAUUUAGUUCAUCAGAUUCAGAAAAUUCAGUUCAUUAGUUUCAUCAAAGUUUCAGUUGUCAGUUAAUUUGUCAGGCACAUUGGCACUCGCGCACGUCGUCCGCUUCCUCACAUCACUCGCUCACAUAGCCCACCUGCCGAUCCAAACAACGGCUUGGUCAGGGAUCGGACUGGACCAGACGUUGUCCACCAUGACCUCAAGGCGAUGCCCGAGUCCAAGUGCGUGCCGUCAAUAUUCCAAACUGAAGUCCAAGGAAGAACGAUCAGGAACAGCAGAUUUCCAAUGGAUGCUGGUAUUGUCAGCUGACACCUCCGGGGCUGUACAUCAUGAUGGUUACGAAGACACGACGAUGAUCUCAAUGCUAGAAACUUGAAUGGAAUACCAUAACUGCAGACCUGAUCACAAUGCUACAGACUUGAAUGAAAUACCAUGAUUGCGGGCCUUUGCUGAUUUGCGUUUUCCAUUGAUCUUCAGUGCACUAAAGAAUAGUGAAAUCUUGGCAUCUGAUUCAUUUUGCAGGCUAUGCUUUUAACUCAAUGAAUAUGUGCAUUGUUAGUUGACCUUAUUGUCUGUUUGUAGCUAAUUGGGAGACAAACAUGGGCAAUGAGCAGCUUUUUUGAUGACAGUGCAAUCAAGGACUCACAUAUUCACUGAUGAAUCUACCUCUAUUUGGUACUGUGUAUAUACCUGAAAAUAGUAGCAUCGGCAUUGCAUAUUUAUUUUCUCAAUCAGCAACACUGUACUAGGGUCUUCAUCGGCAAUGUACAUAGUGAUGCUUAACUGCUGGUUUGAAUUAUUGGAUGCAUCUGUUGUGAGACAUUCAUGUGUUGUCAUAGUGACUUGCCUGCGCUCAUUGUUGAUCGCUAAGAAGUGAGUUGGUCCAGAGAUUGUAGCUGAGAUGGAGCUCAGCAGGACAACUAGACAUGCACAGCUUGGUAUUAGUCUUAUCUAAAAUUUUACAUAUAAGUUUUUUCCUAGAUUCAAGUACAUUAUAUCAUUAUUUUGCAGGUGUGAUCCACAGAGGAGAUCACAUUUCCAGUCCAGUCAUAAAUUAUUAUAAUUAUUUUACUCAUGUUCAUACUAAAUUUGAAACGGGUCAAUCCACAAGCUUCUGAUCCUCGGUUCAUUUUUGAACUAUAUCCAUGUGUUCUAUCAAGGAUCAUUUUGGCACAUAUGGAAAAGACAAGCAAUUUUGUUACCAGAAUUAUCAUAUUUGUAAGGUCAAUCACCCAUGGGUUCUGCACUUCACUAGAAAUAAUUUGUACCCUUGACCUGAUAAGUUGUUGUUGUAUUAUGAAUUAUUCAUAGUACGAGACCAAAUUUAUUGUUUUAGUUUCAUACAAUUUUUUGUUCUUUGAUAAAUGGAGAUUGUCAUUGUCUUCCGUUUGCAUGCCAGAAUUUAGCGGUUUAUUGUAAUAGUUAUUUGGCUUGAUAUUUA